UCAAUUUUCACGAUUUUCAUGUUUAUAGAUCUACCUGAUUUUAACCAUUUUUUGAGUUUAAAUUUUUCUAAUUAGAUAUAAAAAUUGUUUUUAAAAUAAUCCUAAAAUUUUUUACAAUAAAAUUAUAUAUAUUAUGAUAAAAUUUGGAGUUGCAUCUUAAUUGUAUUGUUUAAAGUUAUAGAAACGGCCCCCUUUAGAAAUUUCCAUUUACUCUCUUUCUUUUUUUCAUAUGGUAUAGAAAGCGACAAAUUUGCAUUUAGAAAUUUCCAUUUACUCUCUCUUAUAGAAAAUCCCUUUAGAAACACACUUACAAAUUUUCAUUUAGAAAGAAAUGACCUCUCUCUCUCUCUUAUUGAUGUUUUUUUAUACUCUCUCUCUUAUUGAUGCUUCUCUCUCUCAUUGAUGUCUUCUCUCUCUCACUAGCUAGCUAUUUUGAU
rnacentral:lncRNA from 1 species